UCGAACGGUAACAGGGAGCUUGCUCCGCUGACGAGUGGCGAACGGGUGAGUAAUAUAUCGGAACGUACCCUAGAGUGGGGGAUAACGUAGCGAAAGUUACGCUAAUACCGCAUACGAUCUACGGAUGAAAGUGGGGGAUCGCAAGACCUCAUGCUCCUGGAGCGGCCGAUAUCUGAUUAGCUAGUUGGUGAGGUAAAGGCUCACCAAGGCGACGAUCAGUAGCUGGUCUGAGAGGACGACCAGCCACACUGGAACUGAGACACGGUCCAGACUCCUACGGGAGGCAGCAGUGGGGAAUUUUGGACAAUGGGGGCAACCCUGAUCCAGCAAUGCCGCGUGAGUGAAGAAGGCCUUCGGGUUGUAAAGCUCUUUUGUCAGGGAAGAAACGGGGUUGGCUAAUAUCCAGCCCUAAUGACGGUACCUGAAGAAUAAGCACCGGCUAACUACGUGCCAGCAGCCGCGGUAAUACGUAGGGUGCAAGCGUUA
rnacentral:rRNA from 1 species